GACGAACCGAGCGAACGUUGUUCGGAAUAACUGGGCUUAAAGGGCGCGUAGGCGGGCCGCCAAGUUCGAGGUGAAAUCCUCCGGCUCAACCGGAGAACUGCCUCGGAUACUGGGCGUCUCGAGUGUGGUAGGGGUAUGCGGAACUAUCGGUGGAGCGGUGAAAUGCGUUGAUAUCGAUAGGAACUCCGGUGGCGAAGGCGGCAUACUGGACCACCACUGACGCUGAUGCGCGAAAGCCAGGGGAGCAAACGGG
rnacentral:rRNA from 1 species